rnacentral:RNase_P_RNA from 1 species
CGGAUAAUCGCUAAGGUAACUUAGAGGAAAGUCCAUGCUCACACAGUCUGAGAUGACUGUAGUGUUCGUGCUUGACGAAACAAUAAGUCAAGGUAGCAAUAUGCUAACGGCAGUUUAGUUUUCUAAGUCAUUUUGAUAUGAAAACAAACUUGAAAGUGCCACAGUGACGAUUUUUUAUGGAAACAUAAAAAGUGGAACGGGUAAACCCCUCGAGUGAGCAAUCCAAAUUAGGUAGGAGCACUUUUUCUCUGGAAUUCAACAGAAGAAAGAGAUAUUACAAAAGUAAUAUAGACAGAUGAUUAUCACUAUUGUGUGAGUGUAAUCUAGUGCACGUUUUAACACAUUAGUACAGAACAUGGCUUAUAG